rfam:Nicotiana sylvestris Nsyl_contig128380, whole genome shotgun sequence.
UGGACAAAUUAUUGUAUUCGACUGUAUUCACGGUGUAAAAUAGGGGAUUACACUGUUUUUAAAACGGAAAGUGAAUCAAUUAACAUAAUAAACUCCU